rnacentral:rRNA from 1 species
GACGAACGCUGGCGGCGUGCUUAACACAUGCAAGUCGAACGGAAAGGCCCUGCUUUUGUGGGGUGCUCGAGUGGCGAACGGGUGAGUAACACGUGAGUAACCUGCCCUUGACUUUGGGAUAACUUCAGGAAACUGGGGCUAAUACCGGAUAGGAGCUCCUGCUGCAUGGUGGGGGUUGGAAAGUUUCGGCGGUUGGGGAUGGACUCGCGGCUUAUCAGCUUGUUGGUGGGGUAGUGGCUUACCAAGGCUUUGACGGGUAGCCGGCCUGAGAGGGUGACCGGCCACAUUGGGACUGAGAGACGGCCCAGAAUCCUACGGGAGGCAGCAGUGGGGAAUAUUGCACAAUGGGCGGAAGCCUGAUGCAGCAACGCCGCGUGCGGGAUGACGGCCUUCGGGUUGUAAACCGCUUUCGCAUGUGACGAAGCGUGAGUGACGGUAAUGGGUAAAGAAGCACCGGCUAACUACGUG